rfam:Salmo salar isolate Sally breed double haploid chromosome ssa15, whole genome shotgun sequence.
CAUGAAUUAAUCUGUAUGUCGCUUUGGAUAAAAGCAUCUGCUAAAUGGCAUAUU